GAUGAACGCUGGCGGCGUGCUUAACACAUGCAAGUCGAACGGAAAGGCUCCUGCUUGCAGGGGUACUCGAGUGGCGAACGGGUGAGUAACACGUGGGUGAUCUGCCCUGCACUUCGGGAUAAGCCUGGGAAACUGGGUCUAAUACCGGAUAGGGCCACAUUUUGGAUGGUGUGGUGGAAAGUUUUUCGGUGUGGGAUGAGCUCGCGGCCUAUCAGCUUGUUGGUGGGGUAAUGGCCUACCAAGGCGUCGACGGGUAGCCGGCCUGAGAGGGUGUACGGCCACAUUGGGACUGAGAUACGGCCCAGACUCCUACGGGAGGCAGCAGUGGGGAAUAUUGCACAAUGGGCGCAAGCCUGAUGCAGCGACGCCGCGUGGGGGAUGACGGCCUUCGGGUUGUAAACUCCUUUCGCUAGGGACGAAGCGUUUUUGUGACGGUACCUGGAGAAGAAGCACCGGCUAACUACGUG
rnacentral:rRNA from 1 species